GGGAGAAUACGCGGGUCCCAUUAGUCUCCAACCAGUCAUUGGGAACUUUGCAUGAGACACUCAUUGCCAUCCUAGAUGAGAUGGUAUUGAAAGCUUUACCAUCCUUGGCUGAACUAGUGGCAUUUCUGGUCUUACUCUUGGGCCAUAAUGUUGCUAAUGAAAUCCCCCAAAUGAUCUCACAAAUUGUUGCUGCUCUCCAUA
rnacentral:sRNA from 1 species